UACGGAAGGCAGCAGUGGGGAAUAUUGCACAAUGGGCGCAAGCCUGAUGCAGCCAUGCCGCGUGUAUGAAGAAGGCCUUCGGGUUGUAAAGUACUUUUCAGUCGUGAGGAAGGUGUUAAGGUUAAUAACCUUAGCAAUUGACGUUAGCGACAGAAGAAGCACCGGCUAACUCCGUGCCAGCAGCCGCGGUAAUACGGAGGGUGCGAGCGUUAAUCGGAAUUACUGGGCGUAAAGGGCACGCAGGCGGUUAAUUAAGUUGGAUGUGAAAUCCCCGGGCUUAACCUGGGAAUGGCAUUCAAGACUGGUUAGCUAGAGUCUUGUAGAGGGGGUAGAAUUCCGAUGUGUAGCGGUGAAAUGCGUAGAGAUGUGGAGGAAUACCGGUGGCGAAGGCGGCCCCUGGGACAAAGGCUGACGCUCAUGUGCGAAAGCGUGGGGAGCAAAC
rnacentral:rRNA from 1 species